UACAGAGGUGGCAAGCGUUGUUCGGAAUUACUGGGCGUAAAGGGCGCGUAGGCGGCCUUGUAAGUCUCGUGUGAAAGCCCUCGGCUUAACUGAGGAUCUGCACGGGAUACUGUAAGGCUCGAGUUCGGGAGAGGAAAGCGGAAUUCCGGGUGUAGCGGUGAAAUGCGUAGAUAUCCGGAGGAACACCAGUGGCGAAGGCGGCUUUCUGGACCGACACUGACGCUGAUGCGCGAAAGCUAGGGGAGCAAACGGG
rnacentral:rRNA from 1 species